AGGGCAGACGGUGGAUGCCUUGGCUCUCGGAGGCGAUGAAGGACGUGAUAAGCUGCGAAAAGCUUGGGUGAGGUGCAAAUAACUUUUGACCCCAAGAUAUCCGAAUGGGGCAACCCGGUAUGGUGAAGCCAUAUCACACUGUAACCAGUGAGCAAACGUGGGGAACUGAAACAUCUAAGUACCCAUAGGAAGAGAAAAUAAAAAUGAUUGCGUAAGUAGUGGCGAGCGAACGCGCAAGAGCCCAAACCGUUAAUGUUUCGGCAUUAGCGGGGUUGUAGGACCACGAUGUAGCAAGAGGUAAUUGAAAUAGAACGUUUUGGAAAGAACGGCCAAAGAAGGUGAUAGCCCUGUAGAUGAAUCGAUUAUGAAGCUUAGUGGUAUCCUGAGUAAGGCGGGACACGUGAAAUCCUGUCUGAAUCCGCGGGGACCAUCCCGUAAGGCUAAAUACUCCCGAGAGACCGAUAGCGAACCAGUACCGUGAGGGAAAGGUGAAAAGAACCUCGAACAGAGGAGUGAAAUAGACCCUGAAACCGUCUGCUUACAAGCGGUCGGAGCACUUACGAGUGUGACGGCGUGCCUUUUGCAUAAUGAACCUACGAGUUACUUUUGUUGGCGAGGUUAAGUGGCUCAGUCAUGCAGCCGAAGCGAAAGCGAGUCUUAAUAGGGCGCAUAGUCAGCAGGAGUAGACGCGAAACCAAGUGAUCUACCCAUGGUCAGGUUGAAGGUUAGGUAACACUAACUGGAGGACCGAAUGGAUAUACGUUGAAAAGUGUUCCAAUGAAUUGUGGGUAGGGGUGAAAGGCUAAUCAAACUUGGAGAUAGCUCGUACUCCCCGAAAUGCAUUUAGGUGCAGCCUUUGAAGUUACUAAUAUGAGGUAGAGCGACUGAUUGGAUGCGAGGGCUUCGCCGCCUAUCAAGUCCAGAUAAACUCCGAAUGCGUAUUAGUAUAAUUCAAGGAGUGAGGGCAUGGGUGCUAAGGUCCAUGUCCGAGAGGAGAAGAAUCCAGACCAUCAGCUAAGGUCCCCAAAUAAUUGCUAAGUUGCAUUAACGAAGUCUGGUCGCUAAGACAGCUAGGAUGUUGGCUUGGAAGCAGCCAUUCAUUUAAAGAGUGCGUAACAGCUCACUAGUCGAGUGACCGGGCGUGGAUAAUAAUCUGUCUCUUAUACACAUCUAGAUGUGUAUAAGAGACAGGGUGUGGGAUAACCCAUGCUGGAGCGUCAAGAAAAGCAAAUGUAGGUAUAAGUAACGAUAAAGGGGGUGAGAAACCCCCUCGCCGAAAGACUAAGGUUUCCUGAUCAACGCUAAUCGGAUCAGGGUUAGUCGGGGCCUAAGGCUAAGCCGAAGGGCGAUGCCGAUGGAAGAACCGGUUAAUAUUCCGGUACUACUUUAUAGAGUGAUGUGGGGACGGAGAAGUGACAGCUCUGCCAUCUGACGGAAUAGAUGGUUGAAGGGUGUAGACGUUGAUUUUGGUAGGCAAAUCCGCCGAAAGAGUCGAACCUGACAGUAUGCAGCGUACUUGUACAAUGUAAUAUGAGUGUAAACAGGCUCCCUAGAAAAUCCGCUAAACUUAUCUAUAAAGUACCCGUACUGUAAACGGACACACGUAGUUGGGUUGAGAAUACUAAGGCGCUCGAGUGAUUCACGGUUAAGGAACUAGGCAAAAUAGUCCUGUAACUUCGGGAUAAAGGACGCCAGCAGUGAAAUGCUGGCCGCAGAGAAUAGGCCCAGGCGACUGUUUAACAAAAACACAUGGCUAUGCGAAAUAGAAAUAUGAAGUAUAUAGCCUGACACCUGCCCGGUGCUGGAAGGUUAAGAGGAGAGGUCAUCAUUUCGGUGAGAAGCUUUGAAUUGAAGCCCCAGUAAACGGCGGCCGUAACUAUAACGGUCCUAAGGUAGCGAAAUUCCUUGUCGGGUAAGUUCCGACCUGCACGAAUGGUGUAACGAUCUGGGCACUGUCUCAACUGUGAGCUCGGUGAAAUUGUAGUAUCGGUGAAGAUGCCGAUUACCCGCGAUGGGACGAAAAGACCCCGUGAACCUUUACUAUAGCUUUACAUUGCGUUUGGGCAAUUGAUGUGUAGGAUAGGCCGGAGACUGUGAAGCAGGUACGCCAGUAUUUGUGGAGUCAUUGUUGAAAUACGGCCCUUUGAUUGUUUGAAUUCUAACUCGUGGAUUGCGAGGACAGUGUAUGGUGGGUAGUUUGACUGGGGUGGUCGCCUCCAAAAGUGUAACGGAGGCUUCUAAAGGUACCCUCAGGCCGAUUGGUAACCGGUCGUAGAGUGUAAUGGCAUAAGGGUGCUUGACUGGGAGACUAACAAGUCGAUCAGGUAGGAAACUAGAGCAUAGUGAUCCGGUGGUUCCGUAUGGAAGGGCCAUCGCUCAAAGGAUAAAAGGUACUCCGGGGAUAACAGGCUGAUCGCCGCCAAGAGCUCAUAUCGACGCGGCGGUUUGGCACCUCGAUGUCGGCUCGUCACAUCCUGGGGCUGGAGAAGGUCCCAAGGGUUGGGCUGUUCGCCCAUUAAAGUGGCACGCGAGCUGGGUUCAGAACGUCGUGAGACAGUUCGGUCUCUAUCUAUCGUGGGCGUAGGAUAUUUGCGAGGCUCUGACACUAGUACGAGAGGACCGUGUUGGACAGACCGCUGGUUUACCGGUUGUUUCGCCAGGAGCACAGCCGGGUAGCUAAGUUUGGAUAGGAUAAGUGCUGAAAGCAUCUAAGUACGAAGCCUGCCUCAAGAUUAGAUAUCCUUAAAGGGUCGUUGUAGACUACGACGUUGAUAGGCUACAGGUGGAAGGGUGGUAACAUCCGGAGCCGAGUAGUACUAAUUGCCCGAAACUUUUUC
rnacentral:rRNA from 1 species